rnacentral:rRNA from 1 species
UUCUGUGAAAAUGCUCCUUACAUCAGCAGGCAUCUCUGUGAUAGAGUGUGGAUGGCCCCACCUGCCAGGAGGCCCGAUUGGAUAUCCUCCGAAACUCAGUGGCUAAUACACGGACGGCGCGNUCUGCUACGACACGGNCUCGCCAAGCCCUCGCGCUUGCCCGACCGGCAGUGGAUUGCACCCAGCUGGAAUGGAAGACCAGCGCCUGGAAACGGCAGCGUGUUUGUGGUUGACUCAGGCUGGUCCCCAGUGGACAUCGGCACUGGCAGAGUGGUGGCUAUGCCACAGCAUUGCUUGAUCGCACAGAACUUCUGACCUAUCAGCUUCGAUGGUGGUGCAGAGGGCCACCAUGGCAGUGACGGGUAACGGAGAAUCAGGGUUCGAUUCCGGAGAGGGAGCCUGAGAGACGGCUACCACUGCUAAGGCGGGCAGCAGGCACGCAAAUUGCCCCAUGCUGAUGCACUUCUGGUGAGGCAGCGACGAACUGCAGCAAUCCCACCUGUCCUCAGUGACCGGUGGGACUUGGAAUGGAUGCAAUCCAAACACAGUGAUGAGUAUCGACUGGAGGGCAAGUCUGGUGCCAGCCAGCUGCGAANNUGUACAACCCCCAGCAGUAUGUUCCUGCACCCGUUCUUCACGACGGUGCGAAUGGCUCCUGCUCCAAGUCUUCUUCAGUGGGGAUCGAUGCGGGUGUAUACCCAACGCUUGUGUGUUGACGAUUCGAGGGGCACNGCCCCAGUGCNNUGCAUUGCCCUCAGUCCACCACCGGAGUCCACUGUCUCAGACACCGUGGAAAACUCAGUGUGCCCAAAGCGUCCAUCUCGGCUGNAUGUCCGUCCAUGGAAUGUCAAAGCAUCGACCGGAUAUGGCUAUGGAGUUGUGCUGGCCUUGGUGCCUAUCCUGGAGAACAUGGCUCAGUCCACAGGGGNUCGGAGGUAUUGCUGCCGUCUGGCGGUGGUGCUCACCCGGGUCUCUGGCGGGCUGUGUCGAUCGGCUAUGAUGGGACAUCUCGGGGUGAAAGAUACUGCAACGCCAGAGGUGAAAUUCUUAGACCGUUGCAAGAUCCACUGCAGCGAAGGCGUUCUGCAAGUGCUUGUUCGUCGAUCAAGAAUGUGAGUGUGGGGAGCGAAGAUGAUNAGACACCGUCGUAGUCCACAACUGUAAACUAUGCAGCUCGGUCAUGGUGCGGCAAGUACACGGACCGCAUCAGGGCCAUACCCCCUACAACGAGAAAUCCAAGCCCAUGGGUUCAAGGGGGAGUACUGUCGCAAGGCUGAAACUUAAAGGAAUUGACGGAAUGGCACCACAAGGCGUGGAGUAUGCGGCUUAAUUUGACUCAACACGGGGAAUGUUACCAGGUCCGGACGUUGCUGGGAUGGACAGAUUGAGAGCUCUUUCUUGAUCCUUCGGAUGGUGGUGCAUGGCCGCUCCUGAUUGGUGGAGUGAUUUGUCUGGUUGAUUCCGAUAACGAGUGAGACAUCUGCCUUCCAAUAGCCCUGGCCUCGCAUCUGUAGGGUGGUCGAUGCGUUCCGAGACGGGGUUCGCCCUUAGCCGAGGUCGUGCCGUUCUGCCCGAGAGGUACAGGAUCAGCUUCUCUGAGGUGCAGUGUACGCUGCCAAGUGCAUGCAUGCUANAGCCAACAGCAGGUCUGUGAUGCUCCCAGAUGUCCUGGGCCGCACGCGCACUACAUUGGUUUGGUGAAUAUGCCUGAGUCGCUCGUCCGACACCUGACCGGAAGUGGUUGGGAAACCCUUGGAGCCUAUGUUACAGCCGUACUGGGGAUGGAUGAUUGCAACUGUCCGUCUUGAACGAGGAAUGCCUAGUAAGCGUGGGUCAUCAGCCCACACUGAUUGUGUCCCUGCCAUUUGUACACACCGCCCGUCNUUUGC